GACGAACGCUGGCGGCGUGCUUAACACAUGCAAGUCGAACGGAAAGGCCCUGCUUUUGUGGCGUGCUCGAUUGGCGCACGGGUGUGUAACACGUGAGUAACCUGCCCUUGACUUUGGGAUAACUUCAGGAAACUCGGGCUAAUACCGGAUAGGAGAUCCUGCUCCAUGGUGGGGGUUGGAAAGUUUCGGCGGUUGGGGAUGGACUCGCGGCUUCUCCGCUGGUUGGUGGGGUAGUGGCUUACCAAGGCUUUGACGGGUAGGCGGCCUGAGAGGGUGACCGGCCACAUUGGGACUGAGAGACGGCCCAGACUCGUACGGGAGGCAGCAGUGGAGAAUAUUGCAGAAUGGGCGGAAGCCUGAUGCAGCAACGCCGCGUGCGGGAUAACGGCCUUCGGGUUGUAAACCGAUUUCGCCUGUGACGAAGAGUGAGUGACGGUAAUGGGUAAAGAAGCACCGGCUAACUACGUG
rnacentral:rRNA from 1 species